UACGGGGGGGGCAAGCGUUGUUCGGAAUUACUGGGCGUAAAGGGCGCGUAGGCGGUUCGCUAAGUUGGAUGUGAAAACUCUGGGCUCAACCCAGAGCCUGCAUCCAAAACUGGCGGGCUAGAGUUCUGGAGGGGGUAGCGGAAUUCCUGGUGUAGCGGUGAAAUGCGUAGAUAUCAGGAGGAACACCGGUGGCGAAGGCGGGUCUCUGGGCCGUAACUGACGCUGAGGAAGCGGAAAGCAUGGGG
rnacentral:rRNA from 1 species